UACAGGGGGGGCAAGCGUUGUUCGGAAUUACUGGGCGUAAAGGGCUCGUAGGCGGCCAACUAAGUCAGACGUGAAAUCCCUCGGCUUAACCGGGGAACUGCAUCUGAUACUGGAUGGCUUGAGAUUGGGAGAGGGAUGCGGAAUUCCAGGUGUAGCGGUGAAAUGCGUAGAUAUCUGGAGGAACACCGGUGGCGAAGGCGGCAUCCUGGACCAACACUGACGCUGAGGAGCGAAAGCCAGGGGAGCAAACGGG
rnacentral:rRNA from 1 species